rnacentral:snRNA from 1 species
AUUGCUUCUUGGCCUUUUGGCUAAGAUCAAGUGUAGGAAAAUAAAAGGAUAAAUCAUAAUAUCAUAUAGUAUCUGAGCUGAAAUAGGAUCUAGAAGUUCUUUUAGUUCAAACUUUUAACUUAUUAGAUGUCUUGAGAGAUUCUAA